GUACAUAUUAAGCUAUUUUCCUAUUUAUUAUUGGGUGGGGAGAGUAAGAGGAUGUACUCACGAGGUAGAUAAUAAGCUACAUAAUUUCACAGGCCCAAAUGUUGACCUUAUCCUGAUAAAUCAAUUAUGGUAGAUGAACCAUAUUUUCAGAGCAACUAUGCAUAAAUUUCCAAAGGUGACAAGGAAAAUGUAACUUUACAUCAACUAGUACGCCCGUAGAAGAAAAGCAAACAAAAAGUGAAUUAAUUACACCACAUCCUAACACUGCAGAUGGAUCAG
rnacentral:misc_RNA from 1 species